ensembl:lncRNA
ACACAAAGACAAUAACAAUUAGAUGUACACACAGACACACUAUCAUUUGGUUCUAAACAAUGACACACACUAACAUUUAGAUACACACACUAACAUUUAGAUGUACACAAAGACACAUUAAUAUUUAGAUGUACACACAGACACACUAACAAUUAGAUCCACACACAGACACACUAACAAUUAGAUGUACACACAGACACACUAACAUUUGGUUCUAAACAAAGACACACACUAAUAUUUAGAUGUACACAAAGACACAUUAAUAUUUAGAUGUACACACAGACACACUAACAUUUAUAUGUACACACAGACACACUAACAAUUAGAUGUACACACAGACACACUAACAAUUAGAUGUACACACAGACACACUAACAAUUAGAUGUACACACAGACACAUCCUGAUGAUCCUCCUCACGUCUCUUCUCCUUGUCUGCAGACCAACAGGACGCCAUCAGGACGCCACGUCAUCGGGAUGCCAUCAGGACGCCAUCAGGACACCACGUCAUCGGGACACUACGUCAUCGGGACACACUAACAAUUAGAUGUACACACAGACACACUAACAAUUAGAUGUACACACAGACACACUAACAUUUGGUUCUAAACAAAGACACACACUAACAUUUAGAUGUACACAAAGACACACACUAAUAUUUAGAUGUACACACAGACACACUAACAAUUAGAUGUACACACAGACACACUAACAUUUGGUUCUAAACAAAGACACACACUAACAUUUAGAUGUACACAAAGACACACACUAAUAUUUAGAUGUACACAAAGACAUUAAUAUUUAGAUGUACACACAGACACACUAACAUUUGGUACUAAACAAAGACACACACUAAUAUUUAGAUGUACACAAAGACAUAUUAAU